UGUUUUAGAAGUACUGCAAAAACAGUUAACUUUAAUUAGCUUCAUUUUUUUUCAAAUAGCUCAUAUAGCAUAAAAAACUGUAAAAACAAUGAACUUAGCUUUAUUUUUUUUUUAAUUGUUCUUUUUGAAAAACUGUAAAAGCAACUAACCUUAAUUAUCUGUAUUUUGUAAAAAUUGCUCCUUUUUUUGAUUUUUCGGCUGAAGUGGCUUAGUUAGAGCCACUAUGGAGGCUCUUAGGAGCCACUUGUGGGUCUGGAGCCGCAGAUUGCUGACCUCUGCUUUAGUCCAUAGUCCUGGUUCCUGUGUUUCGCUUUCUUCUUUUCAGCUUUUCUAAAGGAUUCAGGUCUGGAGACUGAGAUGGACAUGGAAGAAAGUUGAAUAAUUUCUGUUAAUUAUGUUUUGAAUCAGUGUCCCCAAAUAACCCAUUUGUUUAUUUUAAUUGAAUUAAUAGAAAUCAACAACUAGAUACAAGCAGCAAUUUUUAACCCCCGUAAAAAUGUCCUCAAAUUAUUAUUUUAGGGCAAGAUUAUGUUACUGCAAUAAAUGUAAAUAAAAUGAAAUCAAUUUUUAAGCAUCUUUUCCAGUGGUUCCCACAAAUGCGUCCAUGUCUGUAAAUGUUUGUUGGGAAAAAAAAAAAUUAAAAAAGUUGAGACAACUAGACACUAUAAUGUCUGAGAACAAAAAAAAUGCUUUUAUCAAAAUACAAGAAACAUAAAACAUUUAAUAGUAAGCAUAAAAAAAGCAAACAUAGUUUCAGCCUCUCGUAGAAAUGUAACCGGAGCAUUUCAACACAGUUUUUGAAUUUGUUUGUAGCUGUGUGCAAUAGUCAGAGACAUCAAAGCUAAUUUGGUUUCUCAGAUAUAAGAAGACACAAGAUGAAUGUCGCUCCCUGAACACAACAUGCCUGGAAUAAAAUAUUAAAGACAUUUAUCAGCAACAACAAAAUGUUAGAGAGAUGAGAUUUAUCCAGCUUCAUUAUUUAAAAAAACAAAAAGUAAAAUCUUGCCCAACACAAAGUGACUUAUCUGUCUUUGGUCUUGUAUUGUUACAUAUCUAUGCUUAUCAUAUUGCUGGCUUGAGAGUUUGGCAACAACCUCUGUGGUUAAUUUAUUGCACCGGCUCAAAUUCAAGAUAAUUAAUAACAUCAGAAACAAAGCAUUUACUUUGAAAUUAAUAAGCAUUAUAUGAUCUGAAGAGAUCAUAAGAAGUGUAAUUUUGGCUGGUGCUAUGCAAUUACUAUGUUACAAUGUGUGUGUGUGUGUGUGUGGGUGUGUGUGGGCGUGUGAGUGAGUGAGAAACGUUUAGAUCCAACAAGAACAAAUACAGCUUAGUGAAAAUCCUGACAACUUUAGUUUUGCCUUUUUGAUGGCUUUUAAUCUGAUUCUAAAUACUUUGUUUUUAAUAUGGAAGACUUCAGUCCUUUUGGUACUCAACACAAGUCUUUCAUUUGAUCAGUUUUUAUUCUGUUAGCAAAGAACUGUAAUAUUUUAUCUCACUAAAAUAUCACCUGGUGCUUCAGGAGGACACCCGUUUACUGCUGAUGCUGGAUGAUCAUUUUUGAUCAAUUAACAAUCGUUCCAAUUAAUUCAUCUUUGAGAUGAGGCUUUUAAGUCUAAAUAACUUCUUCAGUAAUGUUUUCUAACUUGUAACCAGAGCCGGCCCAAGGUAUAGGCAAACUCAUGGGACAUUUAAUUCGUCUCUGAUGUCAAACUUUGGAACGAUUUGACCCCGAAGUUGAACACGCUCCAGUCACAAUCUGAUCUGUGGGAUCAGCUAACUACUAUUAAUACAAUGCAUUUUCUCUAUUUUAUACAUUAAACACUAAAGUAACAUGAUAGUUUGUACAACAUUGUGUACGAUACCGGUUUACUUAGAUACAAAUUGUCAGAAGUACUAAUAGAUAUUUUAUAUCUGUGACUUUUAAAAUAUUUUAGAUAAACAACCCAAAACUGUUGACUUUCCCAAUUCUGAGUUGAUUUCAAAAUGACAUAUUUAUCAACAAUCAACCUGCUUUUAAAUUUUCUCUAAAGGCUUCUGGACAUCAAAUUUAAAACGAAAGCCCUUUACAUUUAAAAAGUAGCUUUAUUAGUUUAUUAAUUUAUAGAUUUAAAACAUCCUAAGUUUAAGCGGGUCAGUGAUGGCUCUCCAGAUCAAAGCCCGCUUUGGACAACUUUGGACCGGCUCUGCAUGCAUCCAGUGUGUUCAGCGUAAACCGAUGAUACUGCAUAUUCAAUUUAAAAUGCAUCUUUUUGAGAGUUUCAUCUAUUAAAUUUAUUUUUAAUAGUUUAUAAAUGUAGCUUUAAACAUGGAAUUUGUGUAAAUGUGGAAAGCUACUAUUUUUGGCAUUAUUUUAAAAUCUUUGUUUCUUUAUCCCAUCUGCGCUUUCGAGCUUGAAUUGUUGAAAAUGGCACACACACGCCCACACACACACGCACCCGCCCCCCUCACACACACGCACUCGCCCCCCUCACACACACACCCUCCUGAGUAUAUUUAUUUUAAUAUCUGUUUAAAUAUCUUUACUUGCAAUAUCACAAGUUCUUUCUUGACUUUAUGUGACUGGGAUUUUUAGUUUUGCAGAAACUGUUACACAGAAAGGUGAGACAGAAUCAACCUGAGAGUGAAGGAUGACCCCUCUGAAGAUUUAAAGAUUUUAAUGGGGGGUCAGAAAUAUUAAUAUAGAUUUAUUAAAAGGAUGAGAGAUA